AGAGGAAGAGGGGAAAGCUUCAGUCCAGGUACGGGCGGGUAAGGAAUGAAAUAAAUGAAUUCUGCUGCCGAAGGCAGCAGAAUUACAUGCACAAACCAUGGACCUACACUAAUUCCCAACUAUCCUAUCUCUCAUUCAGACCAUUGGGCACAUGUGUACCCAGUCUAGUGAUCCAGGAUCUUUCAAUUCUCCUGCGCUGCUUCACCGUCCAGGCUGGGUUGGACUCCAGAAUAGUGGCUCUGAGAUUGGCCCAGCCGUGAUCAACGAAAUGUUGGACUAGAGGGAUAUGUAAAUUUUUAUGUUUAUUAAUAUUAUAUCUGUGCUGUGUGAAUCUAGUUAGCAUGGUAUUUCCUGAUUCACCAACAUAUUGCUUUGAACACUGUAGGCAUCUUAUUAAAUAAAUGAUAUUUUUCUG